GACGAACGCUGGCGGUGUGCUUCACACAUGCAAGUCGAACGAGGUAGCAAUACCUAGUGGCGGACGGGUGAGUAACGCGUGGGAAUCUGCCUUUAGAUGGGGGAUAACGGGCCGAAAGGUCCGCUAAUACCGCAUAUGCCGCAAGGUGAAAGGAGUAAUCCGUCUAAAGAUGAGCCCGCGUCCGAUUAGCUAGUUGGUAGAGUAAAAGCCUACCAAGGCGACGAUCGGUAGCUGGUCUGAGAGGAUGAUCAGCCACAAUGGGACUGAGACACGGCCCAUACUCCUACGGGAGGCAGCAGUGGGGAAUUUUACGCAAUGGGGGAAACCCUGACGUAGCGACACCGCGUGAGCGAAGAAGCCCUUUGGGGUGUAAAGCUCUGUCAGC
rnacentral:rRNA from 1 species